UCGCUUAGUUAUAUGAUAUAUGAUAUUGAACAAUUAUACCCUUUAAAAACCAAAAUAUUUUCCAUGUAAGAGUUAUCUCCCCGAACACUGUUUUUCUUGUUAUUACUUAUAUGUCACAACCGUAUAAGAAACCGAUAAAUUCAUUAUCUCGUUAUAUCCUCUUCAUGAAUUGAUUAUGAUCAUUAGUCCAUAAAGAUGAAAAUUAGGUCAAGGUCAAAGGUCAAGGUCAUAUUC
rnacentral:lncRNA from 1 species